rnacentral:rRNA from 1 species
UUUGAAUUCCUGGCUCAGAUUGAACGCUGGCGGCAGGCUUAACACAUGCAAGUCGAGCGGGGGAAGGUAGCUUGCUACCGGACCUAGCGGCGGACGGGUGAGUAAUGCUUAGGAAUCUGCCUAUUAGUGGGGGACAACAUCUCGAAAGGGAUGCUAAUACCGCAUACGUCCUAGGGGAGAAAGCAGGGGAUCUUCGGACCUUGCGCUAAUAGAUGAGCCUAAGUCGGAUUAGCUAGUUGGUGGGGUAAAGGCCUACCAAGGCGACGAUCUGUAGCGGGUCUGAGAGGAUGAUCCGCCACACUGGGACUGAGACACGGCCCAGACUCGUACGGGAGGCAGCAGUGGGGAAUAUUGGACAAUGGGGGGAACCCUGAUCCAGCCAUGCCGCGUGUGUGAAGAAGGCCUUAUGGUUGUAAAGCACUUUAAGCGAGGAGGAGGCUACUUUAGUUAAUACCUAGAGAUAGUGGACGUUACUCGCAGAAUAAGCACCGGCUAACUCUGUGCCAGCAGCCGCGGUAAUACAGAGGGUGCGAGCGUUAAUCGGAUUUACUGGGCGUAAAGCGUGCGUAGGCGGCUUAUUAAGUCGGAUGUGAAAUCCCCGAGCUUAACUUGGGAAUUGCAUUCGAUACUGGUGAGCUAGAGUAUGGGAGAGGAUGGUAGAAUUCCAGGUGUAGCGGUGAAAUGCGUAGAGAUCUGGAGGAAUACCGAUGGCGAAGGCAGCCAUCUGGCCUAAUACUGACGCUGAGGUACGAAAGCAUGGGGAGCAAACAGGAUUAGAUACCCUGGUAGUCCAUGCCGUAAACGAUGUCUACUAGCCGUUGGGGCCUUUGAGGCUUUAGUGGCGCAGCUAACGCG